CGCGUAGGCGGUUUGUUAAGUCAGAUGUGAAAGCCCCGGGCUCAACCUGGGAAUUGCAUUUGAAACUGGCAGGCUAGAAUGCAGUAGAGGGAGGUGGAAUUUCCGGUGUAGCGGUGAAAUGCGUAGAGAUCGGAAGGAACACCAGUGGCGAAGGCGGCCUCCUGGACUGACAUUGACGCUGAGGUGCGAAAGUGUGGGGAGCAAACA
rnacentral:rRNA from 1 species